CUUCUGCAGUUUUAUUCGAAUUCUCUAUACUUUUAUUAUUAAUAUCGUAAUCAAGCUCUUUAUUAAGUCUAUUAUGACUUAAGAUAUCCAACAUAUUGUUUGCGGGAGAUGAUCGAUCAUUUACACUUUCCGUAGAUAAGUAUAAUACAUACGGUUUCAUCAUUAUUAGUCAUUCUCUUGUGAGUUUUUAAGUGACUCUUCAGACUGUGAGGUGUAGUGAAAGAUCGUUUACAGUUUUCUUCCCAAGAAUAAAAAAAAAAACGAAGUAUAUGUAUAUUAAAUAAAGACUGCACAAGGAAGAACACUCAAAGAUACAUAUCCAAGAAAUAUGGAGAAUUUCUGAGGAUUAAUUCAACGAUAAUGUGUUAUACUCAGAAACACGAAAAAAGGAAUUAAGGGUCUAAUUUCAAAAUGUGUUAUACCCUUAUAAGGAUGGGAUACAAAAUACCGCUUGCUAUGUAAACGAAUAGGUUACAAAUCAUUUUCGUUCUGUCUCUCGUUUCAUUUUCGAUCUCAGCAAAUAAGUAACACGAAGGAACUUCGAUUCAUGGGAAUAAAUAAGAAACACGUAACAUUCAA